rnacentral:rRNA from 1 species
AGUCGAGCGAGCAAUUUUAACGGAAUACCUUCGGGUAGGAAGAUAAAAGCGCGAGCGGCGGAUGGGUGAGUAACACGUGGGCAACCUGCCCUUUAGCUUGGGAUACCACUUGGAAACAGGUGCUAAUACCAAAUAAGAAGCAAGAGCGCAUGCUCAAGCUAUGAAAGGCGGCUUUCGAGCUGUCACUAAAGGAUGGGCCCGCGGUGCAUUAGCUAGUUGGUAAGGUAACGGCUUACCAAGGCAAUGAUGCAUAGCCGAGUUGAGAGACUGAUCGGCCACAUUGGGACUGAGACACGGCCCAAACUCCUACGGGAGGCAGCAGUAGGGAAUCUUCCACAAUGGACGCAAGUCUGAUGGAGCAACGCCGCGUGAGUGAAGAAGGUUUUCGGAUCGUAAAGCUCUGUUGUUGGUGAAGAAGGAUAGGGAUAGUAACUGAUUCUUAUUUGACGGUAAUCAACCAGAAAGUCACGGCUAACUACGUGCCAGCAGCCGCGGUAAUACGUAGGUGGCAAGCGUUGUCCGGAUUUAUUGGGCGUAAAGCGAACGCAGGCGGGAGAACAAGUCAGCUGUGAAAGCCCUCGGCUUGACCGGGGAAGUGCAGCUGAAACUGUUUUUCUUGAGUGCAGAAGAGGAGAGUGGAACUCCAUGUGUAGCGGUGGAAUGCGUAGAUAUAUGGAAGAACACCAGUGGCGAAGGCGGCUCUCUGGUCUGUAACUGACGCUGAGGUUCGAAAGCAUGGGUAGCGAACAGGAUUAGAUACCCUGGUAGUCCAUGCCGUAAACGAUGAGUGCUAAGUGUUGGGAGGUUUCCGCCUCUCAGUGCUGCAGCUAACGCAUUAAGCACUCCGCCUGGGGAGUACGACCGCAAGGUUAAAACUCAAAGGAAUUGAC